GGCUGGGUGGCGCAAUGGUAGCGCGUCACUUUCCGGUGGUGAAGGUUGCGUGUUCGAGUCACGCCUCGGUCG
rfam:Talaromyces marneffei PM1 scf034, whole genome shotgun sequence.